ACCUCGGUAGCUUAGCGUUCAAAAGCACCGGGGCAUAAACCUGAAGACCUGGGUUCGAAUCCUAGUCGAGUGCG